rnacentral:rRNA from 1 species
UGAGGAAUAUUGGUCAAUGGACGAGAGUCUGAACCAGCCAAGUCGCGUGAAGGAAGACGGCCCUACGGGUUGUAAACUUCUUUUGUAAGGGAAUAAAUAGUCUUACGCGCUAAGACGUUGCAGGUACCUUACGAAUAAGGAUCGGCUAACUCCGUGCCAGCAGCCGCGGUAAUAUGGAGGAUCCGAGCGUUAUCCGGAUUUAUUGGGUUUAAAGGGUGCGCAGGCGGCAUGUUAAGUCGGCGGUGAAAUUUUGCAGCUCAACUGUAAAAGAGCCCUCGAAACUGGCAAGCUUGAGUGUGGAUGAAGUAGGCGGAAAUUGUGGUGUAGCGGUGAAAUGCAUAGAUAUCACAAAGAACACCGAUUGUGCAGGCAGCUUACUAAACCAUAACUGACGCUCAUGCACGAAGGCGUGGGGAUCAAACAG